UACGUAGGGGGCAAGCGUUGUCCGGAUUUAUUGGGCGUAAAGAGCGUGUAGGCGGCCAGAUAGGUCCGUUGUGAAAACUCGAGGCUCAACCUCGAGACGCCGAUGGAACCAUUUGGCUAGAGUCCGGAAGAGGAGAGUGGAAUUCCUGGUGUAGCGGUGAAAUGCGCAGAUAUCAGGAAGAACACCCGUGGCUAAGGCGGCUCUCUAGUACGGUACUGACGCUGAGACGCGAAAGCGUGGGGAGCGAACAGG
rnacentral:rRNA from 1 species